UUUCCGUAGGUGAACCUGCGGAAGGAUCAUUAAUAAAUUUUUUUUUGAAAUAAAAAAAAAAUAAUAAUCAUCCUACCCUUUGUGAAUUUGUUUUGUUGAAUAAUUUUUUAAAAUUAUUUAUUGUCUAUCCAAGUUGGAAAGUUGUAAAAAGACUCGAAGACUUAGAGCGGCAUAAAUAAAUUUAAAGACUUUUUUCUAAAAUUAAACUUUUUGUAUUCAUUUGUCUAAAAUAAUUUUUAUAAUAUAUAAAAACAACUUUUGACAAUGGAUCUCUUGGUUCUCGCAACGAUGAAGAACGCAGCAAAAUGCGAUAAGUAAUGUGAAUUGCAGAAUACGUGAAUCAUCGAAUCUUCGAACGCAUAUUGCACUUUUUUAGUUUACUAAAAAAGUAUGUCUGUUUGAGUAUCAGUAAAAUAUUCUCAUAAAAUUUUUUAAUUUUAUGGUUAUGAGUGUUUUACAACGAUAAACAAGUUGUUUCACUUUAAAUUGAAUUUUUUUGAAGAAAUUCUUUAAUUCAAAUUAAAUUUGGAUAAAAUUUUCCCGUAAAAAGGAAUAACUAUACAAGUUUAAUAAGAAUUUAGUGAUUUCUUUUAUGAAAAGGAAAUUUAUUAAAUAACUUGAUCUCAAAUCAGAUAAGAGUACCCGCUGAACUUAAGCAUAUCAAUAAGCGGAGGAAAAGAAACUAACAAGGAUUCCCCUAGUAACGGCGAGUGAAGCGGGAAGAGCUCAAAUUUGAAAUCCUAAAGGGUUUCCCUUUACGAAUUGUAGUUUAAAGAAGUGUUUUCUGUUGAGGUUUUGGUAAAAGUUCUUUGGAAUAGGGCAUCAUAGAGGGUGAGAAUCCCGUAUUUGACCUUUACUUUCAACUUUGUGAUACACUUUCAAAGAGUCGGAUUGUUUGGGGAUGCAGUCCAAAAUGGGUGGUAAAUUUCAUCUAAAGCUAAAUAUUGGCGAGAGACCGAUAGCGAACAAGUACCGUGAGGGAAAGAUGAAAAGAACUUUGAAAAGAGAGUUAAACAGUACGUGAAAUUGUCAAAAGGGAAGCGUUUGACACCAGUGUUGUUUUUCUGAAAAUCAAUUAAAGAACUGUUUAUGCUAAGUUGUUUAGACUUUAUCAGCUAACUGUUUAGUUUUGAGCUUUUCUUUAAUGCACUUUUCAGUUAACAAGUCAACAUCAAUUUCUUUUGCUGUAAAAAAGCUUGAGGAAGGUGGCUUGAGAUUCGUCUUAAGUGUUUAUAGCCUCUUGCCUAUGCAGUCGGAGAGAUUGAGGUCUGCAGCGUAGAUCCUUCGGGGCUAAAUGCAUUUGUGCUAAGUUAUAGCAUUUUAUAGACAACUUGUUGACUAUGAUUUGUCUUGUAGCUUACUCGCUUAUGUUAUUUUACCUACGCUUAGGAUGUUG
rnacentral:misc_RNA from 1 species